UGAGUAAUGUCUGGGAAACUGCCUGAUGGAGGGGGAUAACUACUGGAAACGGUAGCUAAUACCGCAUAACGUCGCAAGACCAAAGAGGGGGACCUUCGGGCCUCUUGCCAUCGGAUGUGCCCAGAUGGGAUUAGCUUGUUGGUGGGGUAACGGCUCACCAAGGCGACGAUCCCUAGCUGGUCUGAGAGGAUGACCAGCCACACUGGAACUGAGACACGGUCCAGACUCCUACGGGAGGCAGCAGUGGGGAAUAUUGCACAAUGGGCGCAAGCCUGAUGCAGCCAUGCCGCGUGUAUGAAGAAGGCCUUCGGGUUGUAAAGUACUUUCAGCGGGGAGGAAGGGAGUAAAGUUAAUACCUUUGCUCAUUGACGUUACCCGCAGAAGAAGCACCGGCUAACUCCGUGCCAGCAGCCGCGGUAAUACGGAGGGUGCAAGCGUUAAUCGGAAUUACUGGGCGUAAAGCGCACGCAGGCGGUUUGUUAAGUCAGAUGUGAAAUCCCCGGGCUCAACCUGGGAACUGCAUCUGAUACUGGCAAGCUUGAGUCUCGUAGAGGGGGGUAGAAUUCCAGGUGUAGCGGUGAAAUGCGUAGAGAUCUGGAGGAAUACCGGUGGCGAAGGCGGCCCCCUGGACGAAGACUGACGCUCAGGUGCGAAAGCGUGGGGAGCAAACAGGAUUAGAUACCCUGGUAGUCCACGCCGUAAACGAUGUCGACUUGGAGGUUGUGCCCUUGAGGCGUGGCUUCCGGAGCUAACGCGUUAAGUCGACCGCCUGGGGAGUACGGCCGCAAGGUUAAAACUCAAAUGAAUUGACGGGGGCCCGCACAAGCGGUGGAGCAUGUGGUUUAAUUCGAUGCAACGCGAAGAACCUUACCUGGUCUUGACAUCCACGGAAGUUUUCAGAGAUGAGAAUGUGCCUUCGGGAACCGUGAGACAGGUGCUGCAUGGCUGUCGUCAGCUCGUGUUGUGAAAUGUUGGGUUAAGUCCCGCAACGAGCGCAACCCUUAUCCUUUGUUGCCAGCGGUCCGGCCGGGAACUCAAAGGAGACUGCCAGUGAUAAACUGGAGGAAGGUGGGGAUGACGUCAAGUCAUCAUGGCCCUUACGACCAGGGCUACACACGUGCUACAAUGGCGCAUACAAAGAGAAGCGACCUCGCGAGAGCAAGCGGACCUCAUAAAGUGCGUCGUAGUCCGGAUUGGAGUCUGCAACUCGACUCCAUGAAGUCGGAAUCGCUAGUAAUCGUGGAUCAGAAUGCCACGGUGAAUACGUUCCCGGGCCUUGUACACACCGCCCGUCACACCAUGGGAGUGGGUUGCAAAAGAAGUAGGUAGCUUAACCUUCGGGAGGGCGCUUACCACUUUGUGAUUCAUGACUGGGGUGAAGUCGUAACAAGGUAACCGUAGGGGAACCUGCGGUUGGAUCACCUCCUUACCUUAAAGAAGC
rnacentral:rRNA from 1 species